ACGGUAACAGGGAGCUUGCUCCGCUGACGAGUGGCGAACGGGUGAGUAAUAUAUCGGAACGUGCCCAGUCGUGGGGGAUAACGCAGCGAAAGCUGUGCUAAUACCGCAUACGAUCUACGGAUGAAAGCGGGGGAUCGCAAGACCUCGCGCGAUUGGAGCGGCCGAUAUCAGAUUAGCUAGUUGGUGAGGUAAAGGCUCACCAAGGCGACGAUCUGUAGCUGGUCUGAGAGGACGACCAGCCACACUGGAACUGAGACACGGUCCAGACUCCUACGGGAGGCAGCAGUGGGGAAUUUUGGACAAUGGGCGCAAGCCUGAUCCAGCAAUGCCGCGUGCAGGAUGAAGGCCUUCGGGUUGUAAACUGCUUUUGUACGGAACGAAACGGUGAGCUCUAAUACAGUUUGCUAAUGACGGUACCGUAAGAAUAAGCACCGGCUAACUACGUGCCAGCAGCCGCGGUAAUACGUAGGGUGCGAGCGUUAAUCGGAAUUACUGGGCGUAAAGCGUGCGCAGGCGGUUAUGUAAGACAGAUGUGAAAUCCCCGGGCUCAACCUGGGACCUGCAUUUGUGACUGCAUAGCUAGAGUACGGUAGAGGGGGAUGGAAUUCCGCGUGUAGCAGUGAAAUGCGUAGAUAUGCGGAGGAACACCGAUGGCGAAGGCAAUCCCCUGGACCUGUACUGACGCUCAUGCACGAAAGCGUGGGGAGCAAACAGGAUUAGAUACCCUGGUAGUCCACGCCCUAAACGAUGUCAACUGGUUGUUGGGUCUUCACUGACUCAGUAACGAAGCUAACGCGUGAA
rnacentral:rRNA from 1 species